UGUGUGUGUGUGUGUGUGUGUCUUUUUGGUCUGUAAUGCUUGUUUCAGGAUUCAGACACAUCAGGGCACCUUGGAAAUCGUGACAGGAUAGUUACAACUGUAAUUUUGUGAGUCUAUGGCCCUGAGGAGUUAUCUGGGGGAAGUAACAUACCCUUAGGGGAGACAAUGACCUGAGUUGAGGACACUGGGUUUUCAGUCAUCAGAUAGAAACACAGUUCUGACAAUGGCCUGUUUGUUGCCUGAUCUUUAUCCGAUCGCCCUUUGGCCCAGGUCACAUCUGCUUCCGAGAGGAGGAGAGAAAGUAAGACAGACAGCUGUCUCAGAAGAAGGCUGGAGUCUCAUGGUGGACUACAACAAGGACUGGAUAAGACAGAAACCGUCUCCAUAUGCCAGGAGUGUCUCCUGGGCUGAGCCUUGCUAGGAAGGAGGAAAACCGGGCCAAAGCCAAGAUGAAAGGGCCUGUAAUCUCAUAAAAGAGUCAGACGAUGCUCUGAAAGCCUGGGAGCCGGCACCUGCCUUUACACUUCAAGGCAGGCAGUGUGAGAUUCACUGAGCCAAGAGGCCUGCUUGUCUGCCCUUCCCCAGGUGUCUGGACCUGGUCAGCAAGGUACUGGGCACCAGGACUAGUAUAACCCACUGGUUGCAGGAGGAUAGCAAGGAGAAGACCAACCGUGAAAUCUUUAGCAUCUAGAACCUGCUCUAGAGAGGAGUUGGGAGACUUCAAGCUCCACCAUCCCUUUUUCUGUCUGUCGUGGUACUGUUCAUUCUUUAUCAGCGUCUUUGAGAUGACUGUAUGGUAUGGAGACCAGGCAGUGUGGCCACCUAGCCGGACCCAGUGCUCUCACAAAGUGAGACUCCUUCAGAAUCAGGAACGCGGCUCCAUUUCUAAUUGGAAGCUCAUGAAGCCUCUUUAGCUUCCAUUUGCCCACCUGAGACAUGGCACAAUGCUACAGGACCCCAGAGGGGGAUGUGUCUGGUCACCCUGCACUAGGAGAGAAAACCUGUCCCGUAGCGUGAGCCCAAGAAAUCAGAGGAAUAAACUAGCAGAUGGUUCUCUGAGUAUAACCCCCAAAUGAUCAGAACAGAAUUCUAACAGCUUCCUUAUGACCUAUUUACUGCUUCCCAAAAAAUAGUCCAGGAAGGGACCCAGGAGGCGAGCUCUCCAAGGGCAAAGAGAGCAAGCUGUUCCUUUGGGUGGGGAAACACCAGGAAGGUGAGCAAAUCCAGGAGACAGAGCUAAGUGGGAAACAGCUAAGCUAAGGGAAGUCAUUCAUUCUCAUGGCAUGGCCCAACCAUGCCUGCAGGACUGCGGGCUUUUGCUUAUCUGUCUUAUUUCUGGAAAGGCAUCUGUACAGGAAGGCAUGGCAUCAAAAGGAACUAGCAGCCCCAAAUACUGCUCCAGGUACCUACUUAGGGACCACACAGAGCAGGCCUGAUCUGCUUUGAACCUGGGGUCUAAUUAGAUAGAGUCUUAGUUUCACCGUCUGUUGUUACAAAGAAAUACCCAUGGCUGGGUCCUGUAUCAAGAAAGGGGGUUUGUUUGCCUCACAGGUUUAGAGUGAGAAGACCCAAGAUCAGGUUGGGCCUCUGGCAAGGGUCUUUCUGGCUGUAUCACAACAUGGUCAAACAGAAGACUGGAGACGAUGGCUGCAUGUAGAAGGGGUCUAGCUUUAUAACUGCUCUUACGAGAACAAAGGUGCCCUGUGAGGCCUGCACUAAUUCUCUAAGAGGGUAGAGACCGACAACCUGGUUACUUUAUACUAGGCCUCUGCUCUUAAAUGUUGUACUGCCUCAAAUCACUGUACCGGGCUCUAAGCCUGGCUCCCAGGCCUCUGUGAGACAUAC
ensembl:lincRNA